rnacentral:rRNA from 1 species
AUUGAACGCUGGCGGCAGGCCUAACACAUGCAAGUCGAGCGAGUGGCGGACGGGUGAGUAAUGUCUGGGAAACUGCCUGAUGGAGGGGGAUAACUACUGGAAACGGUAGCUAAUACCGCAUACCAUCAGAUGUGCCCAGAUGGGAUUAGCUAGUUGGUGGGGUAAGGGCUCACCCAGGCGACGAUCCCUAGCUGGUCUGAGAGGAUGACCAGCCACACUGGAACUGAGACACGGUCCAGACUCCUACGGGAGGCAGCAGGGGGGAAUAUUGCACAAUGGGCGCAAGCCUGAUGCAGCCAUGCCGCGUGUAUGAAGAAGGCCUUCGGGUUGUAAAGUACUUUCAGCGAGGAGGCGUUACUCGCAGAAGAAGCACCGGCUAACUCCGUGCCAGCAGCCGCGGUAAUUC